GAUGAAGAACGCAGCGAAAUGCGAUGAGUAGUGUGAAUUGCAGAAUUCAGUGAAUCAUCGAAUCUUUGAACGCACAUUGCGCCCCUUGGUAUUCCAUGGGGCAUGCCUGUUCGAGCGUCAUUUGUACCUUCAAGCUUUGCUUGGUGUUGGGUGUUUGUCUCGCCUUUGCGUGUAGACUCGCCUUAAAAUAAUUGGCAGCCGGCGUAUUGAUUUCGGAGCGCAGUACAUCUCGCGCUUUGCACUCAUAACGACAGCGUCCAAAAGUACAUUUUACACUCUUGACCUCGGAUCAGGUAGGGAUACCCGCUGAACUUAAGCAUAUCAAUAAGCGGAGGA
rnacentral:misc_RNA from 1 species